rnacentral:rRNA from 1 species
UACGAGCCGUACAAACGUUAUUCGGAAUCACUGGGCUUAAAGGGUGCGUAGGCGGCCAUGUAAGUGGGGUGUGAAAUCCCUCGGCUCAACCGAGGAACUGCGCUCCAUACUGCAUGGCUUGAGGGAGACAGGGGUAAGCGGAACUGAUGGUGGAGCGGUGAAAUGCGUUGAUAUCAUCAGGAACACCGGUGGCGAAAGCGGCUUACUGGGUCUCUUCUGACGCUGAGGUACGAAAGCUAGGGGAGCGAACGGG